rnacentral:rRNA from 1 species
CCGAGUCUUAAUAGGGCGACUAGUUGCAUGCCGUAGACCCGAAACCGGGUGACCUAUCCAUGGCCAGGUUGAAGCGAGGGUAAAACUUCGUGGAGGACCGAACCACGUUGCUGUUGAAAAAAGCAUGGGAUGAGCUGUGGAUAGCGGAGAAAAUUCCAAUCGAACUCGGAGAUAGCUGGUUCUCCCCGAAAUAGCUUUAGGGCUAGCGUCGGAUAUGUGUAGUGGAGGUAGAGCACUGAAUGGGCUAGGGGGCAUAUCGCUUACCGAACCUUAUCAAACUCCGAAUGCCAUAUACAUUAAGUCCGGCAGUCAGACUACGAAUGAUAAGAUCCGUGGUCAAAAGGGAAACAGCCCAGACCGUCAGCUAAGGUCCCAAAGUGUAAGUUAAGUGGAAAAGGAUGUGGGGAUUUCUAAGACAACUAGGAUGUUGGCUUAGAAGCAGCCACUCAUUUUAAAGAGUGCGUAAUAGCUCACUAGUCGAGAGAUCCUGCGCCGAAAAAUGUACCGGGGC